GCUGCUUACCGUACAUGCGUGGCAUCUCCUCCGCUUGGUCAGCCCGGCCUUGAAGCAGAGGUACCCUGGGAGAGGUGAUGUGAACUUGCCCUAGCUGGGAGCGGUCCACUUCCAGAAGGAUUUUCCUCCUACGGAGAACUUGUUUUCUGGCCAGAGUGGAGUGUGGGAGAGCGACAAACAGCAGGCCUAUGCUUAUACCACAACGCGCAAGUUAGCAACAGGAAAAUCAAGGUGAGUGCAGGAAGAUGAAAUGGCCGGAGCUGUGGCAGUCAUCUGUAAGUAUGAGAAUCAGCUCGCUGAGGAACCACAGCGAAAGGAGAAGCGUCUGGACACCUUUGGGCAGAUGAUCCGGUGCUCACACUGCCUAGCUUUGAUUGUCAUGUACACAGCAAACGGCCUCAUGGUGUCUGCCGGCCCCAGCUUCAUCUGUAAACUCGCCAACAGCGCGGUGUCUGUUGCUGCCUUUUGCUGCUCUGUCCCCUCCUUUGUCAGGAGCCCUCGGUCACAAGCUGUGCCCCACGGUUUGUUAAUGAGCACCGCACAGACAGCCUCCUGUGGUAGCAGCAAAGGCCUGAGACGGCAGUGGUGACAUCAUGGUGGCUUGUGGUUUGCUCCGUUGCUCUCCUACCUGAGCCGGGCAGUUCCACCACAGUUAGUCGCUGCGCUGUUUGGAGCACACGCUAACGGGCCAAGUUAAUCCAAGUCACACUGCGGUAACAAGCACUGAGAUUCUAAUGGUUAGAUACGCACAGAUUUCUUUACGGCUCAUAGGAGUUUGCUCUUGGCCAUGGCUCUGGGAUGUUCUCUUCCAUGCUGUGAUUCUGGUGCGGUCCACACUGUUUCCUUAAGACAGGGUCUCUGGCUAGGUCCUGGGACUCAGACACUUGCUAGUCUGGUUGGCUAGGGAUCCUCCAGUUUGGCCCCUCUCAAUACUGAAAUUUCACGUGCAUGGCACCACCCCAGGCUGUUUUCCAUGGGUGCUCGGGAUUGAAUUCAGAUCCUUACACUUGUUCAGCAAACGCAUGGACGACUCAGCUAGCUCACCGGCCCUGCUUCGUGGCCUCCUGUUUCCUGAUAUCUGCGGAAUGACUGAGGCUGUGGCCCCGUUUCUCAGGAGACUGCUACAUGGUGGGAAAGGGGGUGCUGGCACUUGACCCAGGGUUUUCCUCAGCGUGGUCUGUGUAGAAGCCUGCGGAGCGCCCAUGGUGUGACAGCUGGCAAAGAACAACAGGAGGCGGCCCUCAAACCAUCCCCAACCUCAGAAACACCCGGCUGUGUUCCCCGGGCUGCAAACGUGCACUCUCGGUGUUGGAGGCAGCUUCACCAGAGGCAGGGACACCAAGGCCCACUUUGGAGGCUGGCUGCCACUCCCAUCUCUAACAUGAUUUUCAGUGCCCCUGAGCCAGGGUGGCUUGCUGUUACUGUCCUUUAGAGACAGAGACAUUCUGUCAGGGCUAGAGCCCCUGUAACUUUCACCAAAUGCUCCUGGCUCCACUCCAGAUGAGAUUUUGGCUACACAGAGAGCAGAAGAGUAACCUUCUGUGGAGCGCUGGGAUCCAGGUGCUGUUUCUGAUGCCUGCAAUCCACGGGAGACACCGAGGCAUAGAGACUGAGUAUUCUAGGGCCUGCACACGUUAUUCAAGCGUCAUAGCCAGAGUUGAGGCUCCAGCCACUUUCUGUAGCUAGGCUCGGCUUCCCAGGGGUAACCAGCAGAUCUGCUGCUGGUUUCUGCCCAAACGCCACCUCUGUGGCCUGAGCGUGGAGUGGCAACGCCACCCUCCUUCUUCAGAUUGGUUCAUUUUCUCACUGCUGUGACAAAAUGCCUGACAAGAGAGACUUAAUGACACUGUCUACCUUAGCUGGUGGUUCAAGUGGACAUAGUCCCCUGUGGCGGAGGUCAGGCUACAGCAGAGCAGAGGGCGACAGGUCACCCUGCGUCCUCAGUCAGGAAGUGGAGAACCAGGAAUGCGGGCACUCUGCUCCUUCUCUUGGUACACAGCCAGGGAUCCCCGUCUAUGGAUCCACGCUGCCAACAGUACGGGGAGUCUUCCUGCCUCAGUCACCCUAAUCUAGGAAGCCCUCAGGCAUGCCCAGAGGCAUGCCCCUGUGGUAGUUCUAGGUUGACAGUCCGUACUAUGCUUCAGCGUCCCCUGUCAGAACCUUGUCGGUACCCAGACAGCCACCCUCCCCCAGAGUGCCUUCUACUUCCCUUGAAAUGUGCACCCCAAGGCCUCUGCACCCCCAGGUCUCAACACCCCAGGGGUUUGUUGGCCACCACUGGAUGUUCCUGGAUCCUUUUGCAAAUACUGUAGUGUGUGCUAAAAUGAUGGUUUCACAGCAGAAAAAAAGUGUGUCCCUGCUUAAGCAGGGAGUAAUGGAGUCCGAUAAGCCGAACACGAAGUGAUUUCUUUGUGGGUUUA